rnacentral:rRNA from 1 species
GAUGAACGCUGGCGGCGUGCCUAAUACAUGCAAGUCGAGCGAACGGACGAGAAGCUUGCUUCUCUGAUGUUAGCGGCGGACGGGUGAGUAACACGUGGAUAACCUACCUAUAAGACUUGGAUAACUUCGGGAAACCGGAGCUAAUACCGGAUAAUAUUUUGAACCGCAUGGUUCAAAAGUGAAAGACGGUCUUGCUGUCACUUAUAGAUGGAUCCGCGCUGCAUUAGCUAGUUGGUAAGGUAACGGCAUACCAAGGCAACGAUGCAUAGCCGACCUGAGAGGGUGGUCGGCCACACUGGAACUGAGACACGGUCCAGACUACUACGGGAGGCAGCAGUAGGGAAUCUUCCGCAAUGGGCGAAAGCCUGACGGAGCAACGCCGCGUGAGUUAUGAAGGUCUUCGGAUCGUAAAACUCUGUUAUUAGGGAAGAACAUAUGUGUAAGUAACUGUGCACAUCUUGACGGUACCUAAUCAGAAAGCCACGGCUAACUACGUG